AUUGAACGCUGGCGGCAUGCCUUACACAUGCAAGUCGAACGGUAACAGGUCUUCGGAUGCUGACGAGUGGCGAACGGGUGAGUAAUACAUCGGAACGUGCCCGAGAGUGGGGGAUAACGAGGCGAAAGCUUUGCUAAUACCGCAUACGAUCCCAGGAUGAAAGCAGGGGACCGCAAGGCCUUGCGCUCACGGAGCGGCCGAUGGCGGAUUGGGUAGUUGGGGGGGUAAAAGCUUACCAAGCCGAGGAUCUGUAGCUGGUCUGAGAGGACGACCAGGCACACUGGGACUGAGACACGGCGCAGACUCGUACGGGAGGCAGCCGUGGGGAAUUUUGGACAAUGGGCGAAAGCCUGAGCCGGCCAUGCCGCGUGCAGGACGAAGGCCUUCGGGUUGUAAACUGCUUUUGUACGGAACGAAAAGACUCUUUCUAAUAAAGAGGGUCCAUGACGGUACCGUAAGAAUAAGCACCGGCUAACUACGUGCCAGCCGCCGCGGUAAAAC
rnacentral:rRNA from 1 species